AUUGAACGCUGGCGGCAGGCCUAACACAUGCAAGUCGAGCGGAUGAAGGGAGCUUGCUCCUGGAUUCAGCGGCGGACGGGUGAGUAAUGCCUAGGAAUCUGCCUGGUAGUGGGGGAUAACGUCCGGAAACGGGCGCUAAUACCGCAUACGUCCUGAGGGAGAAAGUGGGGGAUCUUCGGACCUCACGCUAUCAGAUGAGCCUAGGUCGGAUUAGCUAGUUGGUGGGGUAAAGGCCUACCAAGGCGACGAUCCGUAACUGGUCUGAGAGGAUGAUCAGUCACACUGGAACUGAGACACGGUCCAGACUCCUACGGGAGGCAGCAGUGGGGAAUCUUCGACAAUGGGCGAAAGCCUGAUCCAGCCACGCCGCGUGUGUGAAGAAGGUCUUCGGAUUGUAAAGCUCUUUAAGUUGGGAGGAAGGGCAGUAAGUUAAUACCUUGCUGUCUUGACGUUACCAACAGAAUAAGCACCGGCUAACUUCGUG
rnacentral:rRNA from 1 species